ACGUAGGGCGCAAGCGUUGUCCGGAUUUAUUGAGCGUAAAGAGCUCGUAGGCGGUUUGUCGCGUCUGCCGUGAAAGUCCGGGGCUCAACUCCGGAUCUGCGGUGGGUACGGGCAGACUAGAGUGAUGUAGGGGAGACUGGAAUUCCUGGUGUAGCGGUGGAAUGCGCAGAUAUCAGGAAGAACACCGAUGGCGAAGGCAGAUCUCUGGGCCGUAACUGACGCUGAGGAGCGAAAGCAUGGGGAGCGAACAGGA
rnacentral:rRNA from 1 species